GAUGAACGCUGGCGGCGUGCCUAAUACAUGCAAGUCGAGCGAACAGACGAGGAGCUUGCUCCUCUGACGUUAGCGGCGGACGGGUGAGUAACACGUGGAUAACCUACCUAUAAGACUGGGAUAACUUCGGGAAACCGGAGCUAAUACCGGAUAAUAUAUUGAACCGCAUGGUUCAAUAGUGAAAGACGGUUUUGCUGUCACUUAUAGAUGGAUCCGCGCCGCAUUAGCUAGUUGGUAAGGUAACGGCUUACCAAGGCAACGAUGCGUAGCCGACCUGAGAGAGGGAUCGCCCACACUGGAACUGAGACACGGUCCAGACUCCUACGGGAGGCGGCAGUAGGGAAUCUUCGGCAAUGGGCGAAAGCCUGACGGAGCAACGCCGCGUGAGUGAUGAAGGUCUUCGGAUCGUAAAACUCUGUUAUUAGGGAGGAACAAAUGUGUAAGUAACUAUGCACGUCUUGACGGUACCUAAUCAGAAAGCCACGGCUAACUACGUG
rnacentral:rRNA from 1 species